AUUGAACGCUGGCGGCAGGCCUAACACAUGCAAGUCGAGCGAGCGGCGGAGGGGUGAGAAAUGUAUGGGGACUGCCCGAUAGAGGGGUAUAACUACUGGACACGGUGGCUAAUACCGCAUACUACCGUAUCACCUAUAUGGGAUUAGCUAGUAGGUGGGGUAAAGGCUCACCUAGGCGACGAUCUCUAGCUGGUCUGAGAGGAUGAUCAGCCAAACGGGGACUGAGACACGGCCCAGACUCCUACGGAGGCAGCAGUGGGGAAUAUUGCACAAUGGGCGCAAGCCUGAUGCAGCCAUGCCGCGUGUAUGAAGAAGGCCUUAGGGUUGUAAAGUACUUUCAGCCGGGAGGCGUUACCCGCAGAAGAAGCACCGGCUAACUCCGUGCCAGCAGCCGCGGUAAUAC
rnacentral:rRNA from 1 species